rnacentral:lncRNA from 1 species
UCAUCUUCUUCUUUUAGGAAUUGUGAAUAAUAACUAGUGUUAUGAUUCACCAUUGUGACAGCACGAAACACUUCAUUCUUCAUGUCAAAGGUUAGUAUAAUUACCUUAUCAUCUUUUUCUCGCGCUAGCCAGUGCGCAAAGUGGCCAUUCUUGCACGACGACUUUAUGGGCUUAACGAUCUCCAAUAGCUGAGCAAGCACGCCGCCGCCGCCCAAAUCCCUCCAAGAAUCCGUCGCUCUCGAAUACAGCUGGGCGUGGAACUGGAGGUAGCUGUGUUCGGUGUAAUACACAUGCAUCAGCUCCACCACUUUGUAAUCUUUGUCGAAACCAAUCCCGACGUCGCGCCUGGCAAAUAAUCGGCAUGAUGGGGAAAGAAAAGAGGGAGGAUUCGGUAGAUUCUUGAAUUGACCUAGAAAAGGGUUGCAUAUGGCUAUGGAGGGCACCUUGAAUUUCCUGUUCACAAUGCCAAUUAGACCCUUCACCGGCCCAACAAACUUGAUUCGCGAGAAGUAACAAAAGGCGUUGUUGUACGACUCCAAUGACUUCCCGUUGUCUAGGAGCUUUACUGAUAGUUUCGGAUCUGGAUCAUCGCGAAAAGGAUAAGAAAAUUGUAGAUAUACAACGUCGUUUUGUUGUUGUUGUUGUUGUUUUUGUUGGUAUGCAUGCCAGAAUUUGCAGACAGAUCUGAAUCUCAAGAGGGAUUGAACGGAUAGCAGCAAGAGUAUUUGUGUCACGACGUCGACGUCGUUGUCGGGUGGAGUAGAAGCAGCCAUUGCUAUGUGUUUCAAUAAUCAAUUACAUAAUUUUGGCCUAAUCAUAAACAUAUAUUUUUUCUUAUAUGAUAUAUGUAAGCUUAAUUUUGGCCUCAUCAUAAACAUAUAUUUUUUCUUAUAAGCUUGGAUAUUAGCCUAAAACAAAUUGGGCUUAAUAUAUAUCAUAAACAUAAUUCUUUUUAGUUCAUAGCCUUUUAUUGUAUUCUCCAUAGCCUAACAUAAAUUGGGCUUAAUAUAUAUCAUAAACAUAUUUCUUUUUAGUUCAUGGCCUUUUUCUGUGUUCUCCAUGGCAAAAAAUAAAUUGGGCUUAAAAUAUAUAAUAAACAUACCGUAUAGUUUGGGUGAUUCUAUUCACAGUCUCAUUUUACUUUGUAUAGCCCUCUAUUUAAAAGAUGCAAUGAUUAUUGAUCCAAAAAACCAUUGUUAGUAGGUGUGUAAAAUGGCGUUGAAACUGGUGUCAUACAGUUUUUUGGCAGAAGUUUAAUAUGCAUAAACAUGUUUCUUUAUCAUAUUAUGAUAAAGGGCUAUAAAUAUUUUAAGAUAAAACGAUAUAAAUAUUUUCAGAUUACAAUUGAGAGUUACACAUAUUUAUUUAAAUGAAAUUGUUAAUUUAUUAUAAAUUUAAUUUAAUUUGGGAACUAUGAAGUAUAGGAUAAAAAUAUAAAUUUAUAAUUAUUAUUCAAGAUAGGAGGCUAUAGAAAGUAAAAUAGGGGCUAUGAAUAGAACCACCCCUGUAGCUACUGUAUUACCAGAAAAUGAAACCUAAAAUUAUCAAAAAGUAGUAAUAAACAAAAAUGUAAAAUAAUACUAUGAAAAGCGCAUUUUUAACUGUGUCUAUAAUGCUUUAGACAUCGUAAUGUCAUGCAACGAUUUUACGAUGCAAUAUUUUCAAGAAUUCUUGUAUAUAACAUUUUCCAGACCUUUUUAGUUAUAUAUAAAUAAAUUUUUAACUGACAAUUUUUGUAUCAAGCAAUUAAGUAUGUUCAAAGUGUUGGAAAUCUGCUAUGCAGGCGAAAACGUUCAGCAGAAUUAACGCCUACAAAGUGCUCGACCGAACGACUGAAAGAGUUAAAAGAAAGGGCUGCAGAAAUCUUCACACCAACUGUUUGGGAAAAUGCCUUGAAGAGAAAAAGGACUGCAAAAGUGGAGAAGCUGAACCGUUGAGAAUACCCAUUUCUAUAAAUGGUGGAAACUUCAAUUCAAAUACAUUAUUAUCACCCUUAAUGAUCAAACAUCAUUAAUUUAUUCCAUGCAUGCUAAUUAGCUCUCCUAACAACGAAGAUUAGGUCCAGGGUUAACUCCGAAUUGGUUACAAUAACUCGUAUAAUAAUUAACACGAGCAGUCACGGCGGCCGGGAUCCCGCCGUCGCAUUCCCCGCCAUGAAUAGCCCUAAUCGUGGCCCCAAAACCCCGCCCCGAUGUAAUAGCUGUGUGCACCCUAUUCAUCCAGAACCACAGCGCGGCCUUGAAUGAGAUGGCGGGGUCACGGGCCACGAUAUCGGGGUUGUUCAAUCCAUCAAAAUUUAGGGCUUGGCCCGCCGGGCCGUAGUUGUAGUUCCACGUCAGCUGUAGCGGGCCUCUGCCGUAGUACCUCUGGCCCGGCGUGCACGGCCACUGUUUGUUGCUAUUGCAAUAGAUCGCCUUGUUUAUCUCUCGUGUGUAGCACAUGUCUGCAUGGGAAAGAAAAUUAUCAGAUCGUCUGAUGGGUCAAGAUUCAUCACAUAUAUUCAUUAAUAAUACUCCCUCCGUCCGCCAAAAGUAUUCCACUUUGGCCUGGCACGGAGUUUAAUAAAAUGUGUGAUGAUGUUGAUGUAGUGGAGAAAGGGCCCUACCACUUUAUGAGAUAUGUGGUUGAGAUUGAAUUUGAGGUGAGUUUUUGUAAAUAAAGAGUGUUUGUAAGGANCCUACGUCGCCUUACCUCUAAAUCUCCGACCUGACUUGAUUUGUUACGAAAAAAAAGGAAAAAUAAUACUCCCUCCGUCCGUCAAAAGUAUUCCACUUUGGCCGGGCACGGAGUUUAAUAAAAUGUGUGAUGAUGUUGAUGUAGUGGAGAAAGGGCCCUACCACUUUAUGAGAUAUGUGGUUGAGAUUGAAUUUGAGGUGAGUUUUUUGUAAAUAAAGAGUGUUUGUAAGGAUAAAAUAUAAAGGUGGAUGGUGGGACCAUGGCUUAAAAAGGAAAGUGGAAUACUUUUUGCGGACGCCAAAUAUAGUAAUUGUGGAAUACUUUUGGCGGACGGAGGGAGUAUUAAUCUUUGGUUUAUGGUUGUGUUCGGAUAUAGACAUUGAAUUAAUUUAUGGAUUUUGACACGUCAUACCGUCUGACAUGAUAUUAUUUCCCUAGUUCAAUAUUGAUUUCAACUCAUAUAAGUUGUGAGACAGAGAAUCUCAUCGAAUUAUCAAUAUUUUGUGUGAAGCAUUGUACAAUAGCGCUUCUAAAGCCUAAUUAAAUAGUAGGAGUAAAAAAUUUGUCUUUCGAAAUCUCAAACUCAAUACAUGUGUGCAAGAUGAUUAAUGCCCAAGGCCUGAAGUGCUGAAUUUGAUUCCACCGUGGCACGAUUUUUAAUUUAUUUAUUUAGUUGUGUAAUUUAUACAAAAAAAAAAAAAAAAAAAGAUAUAGCUCCUAAGUGAGAGUAACAAAGUUAACAAUUAAAAAGAAAUGUGAUUAUAUAUAAAAUUAUAAUCUUUUAAAAAGUAAAAUAAAAAUAAAUAAAUAAGAAAACUUAGUCCAAUCUAAUGUGUGACAUGCCAUGACCUCACGCUCCGAUUCGUCGGUGGACACGAGUUUCGAAAAAAAUUAAUUAUAUAUAAUUAGUAACAAUAUGUCCGAAAAUAGAAUAGGAAGAUAUUUUAUGGAGGAAUCAAAAAAGAAAAGUAGGAAAAUAUUUCGUGGACUUACGCCCGGUCUCGUGCGUGACAUGAGCGAAGAACGCCGCGAUCUCACGCUUCGAGUCGUCGGCGGACCCCACCGUGCCGAAGUUGGGGUACAGCUGAAUCGCUUGUAGGAAGGCGGCGCGUGUGUAGAAUCCCUUCCCGGCGCAGCCCCGCCACGCCUGAUUAGCAAUGCCGUUGAAGAAACUAUCUGUCACCACGCCGCCGACAUUGCUCCGUUGUUUUGGUCCGGAGACGGUAUUUUUCCGGUGGCUAGGAGGAGAGCGAGAAGGGCGUAGAUAGUGAGGGAAUGGUUCAUUUUGGAGAUAGCUAAGAGUAGUGAGAAAAUAUUGUGUUGGUGUUGAGAAAUAAUGUGGGGAUUUAUGGGUAUUUAAAGAGUGAAAUAAAUAUAUACUCCAUUAUUUUAUUUUAUCUUUAGAAGGAUAAUGGGAAGAGGAAGAUAUCUUGAAGCUAGGAAGAUUGGAAGUUUGUUACAAAUGGAUUAAUUAGUAUAUUAUUGACUUUUGGAAUGCCUUAUAGUGUAUGAUACUAUUUGAUUUUAUUGUGGUGGAAAUUUGUGUUGGAUUUUCCAAAGUGGAGUAGGUAAACUUGACUUACUAUUAAGAGUCAACUCAUAAUAUUUACACCAUAACUAGUUACUUGUAAUCUAAUUAUAUGCUAAAGGAUAUUGUUCACUACAAAUUAUACUUAUAAGUUCAAAUGAGAAGGUAUAUAAUGUACUAUACAUUAAAAAUUAUUUUAGUACUGAAAAUGUGAAGAUUUACUGUGAAUUCAUCACUUUGCUGAACGAUCUCAUAAUUCAUGGAUCAUACUGAAUUUAAAUCUUAAAGGUGUUGAAAAUUUAUUUUCUUUUAAUUCAUUACUUUUCAUUUUCACAAUGAAUUCAUAAUAAUUCAUAUAUGAGAUGUUUGAUUUGAGCGAUAAGCAUGACUGAUAAACAAGCCCAACUUAACUAAACAUUUGGUUUGUAUGAUUCGACUCGUAAUAUAAUUUGGCCCGUAAUUUAAUCAUAUAAUAAAAUGAUCAUUUAUCACUUUAAAAUUGAGUUGAUUAUAUAUAACUAUAUCCGACAUUAUAAACAAUGAGACCAAAUAUAUAAAGACUCCAAAAUAAAAAUAAAAAAACCACGAAAGUGUUUAAUAAAAAUGAAAUAAAAGAAGAAUAUGAAAAACCAACAUACUAGUGAGUCACAUGAUUCUCUAGAGUCUUUGGUCAAUUCUAUAUCUCAAUACAUUAAAAAUAAUAAAUAUUAUAGUCCAAACUUAGGGGGUGUAUUAGUUCAAGAUUUAUGUAGAUUUUAAAAAUCCGUGGAUUUUAAAAGUCUAUAGAAUUCUCACGGAUUCUUCAUGAUUUUGAAUGAAUUCUUGGUCGGAUUUUUAAUGAAUUAGCAAGAAUUUGACGUGAUAUUUUCGGACUUGAAAUCCACAAACCCAAUGAGCGCGGGAAUUGAACGAGCGCUAGACCUACUUUCAGCGGCCGCUAGGGGCCCAUGAGCGCUGGAUACCUAGCGAGCGCUGGGUUCCAGCGAGCGCUCAAACCAUAUAUCACAUCAUUGGAUUUGGUUGGUGCCUAAAAUUUUACCGGUGGUGCACAUAUAUUCCCAACUUUCACACAGUUAUAUAUAUUAUCAUAUAGUAUUUCAAACAUGCAUAUGCGCCUCCCAAUAACUGGAUUUAUGAUUAUUAUUUUGACUACACUGGUUCUAUUUCUAUGUAAUCGGCGCUAUUUAAUUCUAGUGGGUAACUAUUAUUUGCAUGCAUUCCCAUUAUUAUAUAUAUAUCUCUAUCCACUAAGCAAUUUAAUUUCCUAAUGGAUAAUAUGGUGAUGGGAGCUUCCCGAAGAAAAUCAUGGCACCACGAGCGCUGAAGAAACUUGACCGCUGGAAUCAUUGGCAACGGCCGCUAGGGUCCAGCGGCCGCUGGCACCCAGCGAGCGCGGGGAUUUUGCAGGAUUUGUGAAUUCUCGUGGUCUGUGUUCGGAUUUGUUCAUACUUAUUUUUUCAACGAAAUCAAUGAAAGUCGUUCCAAUUUUAAAGUCCAUAGAUUAACGAAUACAUCCAGAUUUUCAUAGACUUUUAAAAGUCUUGAACAAAUACACCCAGAUAUUUAUAGACUUUUAAAAGUCUUGAACGAAUACACCUAGAUUUUCAUAGACUUUUAAAAGUUUUGAACGAAUACACCUAGAUUUUCAUAGACUUUUAAAAGUCUUGAACUAAUACACCUAACCUUUAAAAGUCUGCAGAAAUCUAUUAAAGUCUUAAACUAAUACACCCCCCUUGGUUCACGUGAUCAUGGUCCCCAUAUGUAAUACCGACCUAAUUUUCCACAUUCUCUUUUUUCUCUUUUUUUUUUUUUCUUUUUUUCUUCUAGUAACAUUUUUGUAUUCUCAUCCCUUCUUGUUUAUACCACAUAUAACAAAUAUCUCAUUGAUUUAAUCUAUUUCAAUUUUUUUUAAAAGAUAUUUCCUAAAUAUAACCUACCCCAAUUAACAUUAGCUAAGACUUCAAGUUAAAUAUUAAAAAAGAGGGGGAAAAGGCCUUAAAAUACACAAAGUUUGGACGAAUUCUGAUUUUACACACAACUUUUGAAAUUUGAAAAAAAAAAUACAACAAAUUUUAAUUUUUUUUUAUUUUUUCCUAAAUUUAAAAAUACCCUAAAAUUAGAAACAUAUGAGUUGCUACUACAACCCAACACAGCAAGCUCAUAACCCGUACAUAUAAUGUAUUUAAUGAGCUUCGCAAUUCAACAUGAAAAUAAAGCUUUCUCUCGCAAUCAAACGUUAACUCACAAGAAAAUGAAAAUAAAUUGUAGCAGUUUAAAAUUUAAUGUAUUUCAUUUCAAAUUUCAAAGGUUGUGAGCAUAUUAAAAUUUUAUUUUUAUUUUUUCAUGGAUUAAUGUUUGAUUGCGAGAGAAAACUUUAAUCAAUAUUUUGAAUAUAAAUUUAAAUAUAAAUAUAAAUUUAUAUUCGGUAAACAAAAUUCGGGAUUCGAUGCGAUACUAAACAAAUCAAACUUGAGCACACCAGUAUUCAAUUCGACUCGGUUCGAUUAUACCCCUAUGUAUUCCCAGAAAAUGAAACCUUUUACCAAAAAGUACAAAGAUGUAAAAUAAUACUGUGAAAAGCGCAUUUUCAACUGUCUGUAAUGCUUUAGACAUCGUAUGUCGUGCAACGAUUUUACGAUGCAAUAUUUUCAAGAAUUCUUGAAAUUCACUGUAUCCAGCUUGGAUCCAUAACAUUUUUCAGACCUUUUUAGUUAUAUACUCCCUCCGUCCAUGAAAGAACUUCCUAUGAGGGAGUGGCACGGGUUUUAAUAAAAUGUUGUAUAGUGUAUUGAGAAUGGAGAAAAAGUUGUAAAGUGUAUUGGGAAUUGUGAAAAAGUAUUAAUAAUUUAUUGUGUUGUUUUAAUUAAUGUUAUUUGAGUGGUGGGAAUUGUCUUAAAAGGGGAGUAUUUUUUAAGUGGUGGGGUAUUGUCCCAAAAUAGGAAAAAGUAGGAAGUUCUUUCGUGGAUGUCCCGAAAUAGAAAAAUAGGAAGUUCUUUCGUGGACGGAGGGAGUAUACAUUUUUAACAGACAAUCUUUGUAUCAAGUAAAUAUGUUCAAACUGUUGGAAAUCUGCUAUGCUAUGCUGGAGAAAUCGUUCAGCAGAAUAGACGCCUACAAAGUGCUCGACAGAACGACUGAAAGAGUUAAAAGAAAGGGCUGCAGAAAUCUUCACACCAACUGUUUGGGAAAAUGCCUUCAAUAGAAAAAGGACUGCAAAAGUGGAGAAGCUGAACCGUUGAGAAUACCCAUUUCUAAUGCUGCAAACUUCAAUUCAAAUACACUAAUGAUCAAACAUCAUUAAUUUAUUCCAUGCAUGUUAAUUAGCUCUCCUAACAACGAAGAUUAGGUCCGGGAUUAACUCCGAAUUGGUUACAAUAACUCGUAUAAUAAUUAACACGAGCAGUCACGGCGGCCGGGAUCCCUCCGUCGCAUUCCCCGCCAUGAAUAGCCCUAAUCGUGGCCCCAAAACCCCGCCCCGAUGUAAUAGCUGUGUGCACCCUAUUCAUCCAGAACCACAGCGCGGCCUUGAAUGAGAUGGCGGGGUCCCGGGCCACGAUAUCGGGGUUGUUCAAUCCAUCAAAAUUUAGGGCUUGGCCCGCCGGGCCGUAGUUGUAGUUCCACGUCAGCUGUAGCGGGCCUCUGCCGUAGUACCUCUGGCCCGGCGUGCACGGCCACUGUUUGUUGCUAUUGCAAUAGAUCGCCUUGUUUAUCUCUCGUGUGUAGCACAUGUCUGCAUGGGAAAGAAAAUUAUCAGAUCGUCUGAUGGGUCAAGAUUCGUCACAUAUAUUCAUUAAUAAUAUUAAUCUUUGGUUUAUGGUUGUGUUCGGAUAUAGACAUUGAAUUAAUUUAUGGAUUCUGACUCGUCAUACCGUCUGACAUGAUAUUAUUUCCCUAGUUCAAUAUUGAUUUCAACUCAUAUAAGUUGUGAGACAGAGAAUCUCAUCGAAUUAUCAAUAUUUUGUGUGAAGCAUUGUACAAUAGCGCUUCUAAAACCUAAUAAAAAAUUUGUCUUUCGAAAUCUCAAACUCAAUACAUGUGUGCAAGAUGAUUAAUGCCCAAGGUCUGAAGUGCUGAAUUUGAUUCCACCGUGGCACGAUUUUUAAUUUAUUUAUUUAGUUGUGUAAUUUAUCAAAAAAAAAUUGUUUUGAAAAAAAAAUAGAAAAAGAUAGCUCCUAAGUGAGAGUAACAAAGUUAACAAUUAAAAAGAAAUGUGAUUAUAUAUAAAAUUAUAAUCUUUUAAAAAGUAAAAUAAAAAUAAAUAAAUAAGAAAACUUAGUCCAAUCUAAUGUGUGACAUGCGCGAAGAACGCCAUCACCUCACGCUCUGAUUCGUCGGUGGACACGAGUUUCGAGAAAAUUUAAUUAUAUCUUUGGUGAAUGCAAAAAGGGUUUAUAAUUUAGAAAAAAAUAGUGAGUGAAUUUAUGUGAGUCCAUUAGUGAUAAUGCGUGUAAAUAUAUGGUAAUUUUAAUUGUAAUAAUUAGUAACAAUAUGUUCGAAAAUAGAGUAGGAAGAUAUUUUAUGGAGGAAUCAAAAAAGAAAAUUAGGAAAAUAUUUCGUGGACUUACGCCCGGUCUCGUGCGUGACAUGAGCGAAGAACGCUGCGAUCUCACGCUUCGAGUAGUCGGCGGACCCCACCGUGCCGAAGUUGGGGUACAGCUGAAUCGCUUGUAGGAAGGCGGCGCGUGUGUAGAAUCCCUUCCCGGCGCAGCCCCGCCCCGCCUGAUUAGCAAUGCCGUUGAAGAAACUAUCUGUCACCACGCCGCUGACAUUGCCUCCGUUGUUUUGGCCGGAGACGUAUUUUCCGGUGGCUAGGAGGAGAGCGAGAAGGGCGUAGAUAGUGAGGGAAUGGUUCAUUUUGGAGAUAGCUAAGAGUAGUGAGAAAAUAUUGUGUUGGUGUUGAGAAAUAAUGUGGGGAUUUAUGGGUAUUUAAAGAGUGAAAUAAAUAUAUACUCCAUUAUUUUAUUUUAUCUUUAGAAGGAUAAUGGGAAGAGGAAGAUUGGAAGUUUGUUACAAAUGGAUUAAUUAGUAUAUUAUUGACUUUUGGAAUGCCUUAUAGUAUAUGAUACUAUUUGAUUUUAUUGUGGUGGAAAUUUGUGUUGGAUUUUCCAAAGUGGAGUAGGUAAACUUGACUUACUAUUAAGAGUCAACUCAUAAUAUUUACACCAUAACUAGUUACUUGUAAUCUAAUUAUAUGCUAAAGGAUAUUGUUCACUACAAAUUAUACUUAUAAGUUCAAAUGAGAAGGUAUAUAAUGUACUAUAAAUUAAAAAUUAUUUCAGUACUGAAAAUGUGAAGAUUUACUGUGAAUUCAUCACUUUGCUGAACGAACUCAUAAUUCAUGGUUCAUACUGAAUUUAAAUCUUAAAGGUGUUGAAAAUUUAUUUUCUUUUAAUUCAUUACUUUUCAUUUUCACAAUGAAUUCAUAAUAAUUCAUAUAUGAGAUGUUUGAUUUGAGCGAUAAGCAUGACUGAUAAACAAGCCCAACUUAACUAAACAUUUGGUUUGUAUGAUUCGACUCGUAAUAUAAUUUGGCCCGUAAUUUAAUCAUAUAAUAAAAUGAUCAUUUAUCACUUUAAAAUUGAGUUGAUUAUAUAUAACUAUAUCCGACAUUAUAAACAAUGAGACCAAAUAUAUAAAGACUCCAAAAUAAAAUAAAAAACCACGAAAGUGUUUAAUAAAAAUGAAUAAAAUAAGAAUAUGAAAACCAACAUACUAGUGAGUCACAUGAUUCUCUAGAGUCUUUGGUCAAUUCUAUAUCUCAAUACAUUAAAAAUAAUAAAUAUUAUAGUCCAAACUUAGGGGUGUAUUAGUUCAAGAUUUAUGUAGAUUUUAAAAAUCCGUGGAUUUUAAAAGUCUAUAGAAUUCUCACGGAUUCUUCAUGAUUUUGAAUGAAUUCUUGGUCGGAUUUUUAAUGAAUUAGCAAGAAUUUGACGUGAUAUUUUCGGACUUGAAAUCCACAAACCCAAUGAGCGCGGGAAUUGAACGAGCGCUAGACCUACUUUCAGCGGCCGCUAGGGGCCCAUGAGCGCUGGAUACCUAGCGAGCGCUGGGUUCCAACGAGCGCUCAAACCAUAUAUCACAUCAUUGGAUUUGGUUGGUGCCUAAAAUUUUACCGGUGGUGCACAUAUAUUCCCAACUUUCACACUGUUAUAUAUAUUAUCAUAUAGUAUUUCAAACAUGCAUAUGCGCCUCCCAAUAACUGGAUUUAUGAUUAUUAUUUUGACUACACUGGUUCUAUUUCUAUGUAAUCGGCGCUAUUUAAUUUUAGUGGGUAACUAUUAUUCGCAUGCAUUUCCAUUAUUAUAUAUAUAUCUCUAUCCACUAAGCAAUUUAAUUUCCUAAUGGAUAAUAUGGUGAUGGGAGCUUCCCGAAGAAAAUCAUGGCACCACGAGCGCUGAAGAAACUUGACCUCUGGAAUCAUUGGCAACGGCCGCUGGCUUCUUGGCCGCGGGCGCUGGCACCCAGCGAGAGCGGGGAUUUUGCAGGAUUUGUGAAUUCUCGUGGUCUGUGUUCGGAUUUGUUCAUGCUUGUUUUUUCAACGAAAUUAAUGAAAGUCAUUUCAAUUUUAAAGUCCAUAAAUUAUCGAAUACAUCCAGAUUUUUAUAGACUUUUAAAAGUCUUGAACGACCUAAAUUUUCAUAGACUUUUAAAAGUAUUGAACGAAUACACCUAGAUUUUCAUAGACUUUUAAAAGUCUUGAACUAAUACACCUAACCUUUAAAAGUCUGCAGAAAUCUAUUAAAGUCUUAAACUAAUACACCCCCCUUAAUUGGUUCACGUGAUCAUGGUCCCCAUAUGUAAUACCGACCUAAUUUUCCACAUUCUCUUUCUUCUUCUUUUUUUUUUUUCUUUUUUUCUUCUAGUAACAUUUUUGUAUUCUCAUCCCUUCUUGUUUAUACCACAUAUAACAAAUACUCCCUCCGUCCCACUGUAAGUGAGACCUUUUUUUUGGGCACGAGAAUUAAGAAAGGUGUAUUUUGUGUGUAAGUGAAAAAAGUGAAAAUGUGUUUAAAGGGAAAAACUUUUACCUAAAAAGGAAAGAGUCUCACUUACAAUGGGACGCCCAAAAUAGAAAGAGUCUCAGAUACAGUGGGACGGAGGGAGUAUCUCAUUGAUUUAAUCUAUUUCAAUUUUUUUUAAAAGAUAUUUCCUAAAUAUAACCUACCCCAAUUAACAUUAGCUAAGACUUCAAGUUAAAUAUUAAAAAAGAGGGGGAAAAGGCCUUAAAAUACACAAAGUUUGGACGAAUUCUGAUUUUACACACAACUUUUGAAAUUUGAAAAAAAAAUACAACAAAUUUUAAUUUUUUUUUAUUUUUUCCUAAAUUUAAAAAUACCCUAAAAUUAGAAACAUAAAAGUUGCUACUACAACCCAACACAGCAAGCUCAUAACCCGUACAUAUAAUGUAUUUAAUGAGCAUCGCAAUUCAACAUGAAAAUAAAGCUUUCUCUCGCAAUCAAACAUUAACUCACAAGAAAAUGAAAAUAAAUUGUAGCUGUUUAAAAUUUAAUGUAUUUCAUUUCAAAUUUCAAAGGUUGUGAGCAUAUUAAAAUUUUAUUUUUAUUUUUUCGUGGAUUAAUGUUUGAUUGCGAGAGAAAACUUUAAUCAAUAUUUUGAAUAUAAAUAUAAAUAUAAAUAUAAAUUUAAAUAUAAAUUUAAAUAUAAAUUUAUAUUCGGUAAACAAAAUUCGGGAUUCGAUGCGAUACUAAACAAAUCAAACUUGAGCACACCACUAUUCAAUUCGGCUCGAUCGGUUCGAUUAUACGCCUAUGUAUAAUGUAUUCCCGGAAAAUGAAACCUUUAACAAAAAGUACAAAGAUGUAAAAUAAUACUGUGAAAAGCGCAUUUUCAACUCUCUAUAAUGCUUUAGACAUCGUAUGUCAUGCAACGAUUUUACGAUGCAAUUUUUUCAAGAAUUCUUGAAAUUCACUGUAUCCAGCUUGGAUCCAUAACAUUUUUCAGACCUUUUUAGUUAUAUAUACAUUUUUAACUGACAAUCUUUGUAUCAAGUAAAUAUGUUCAAACUGUUGGAAAUCUGCUAUGCUAUGCUGGAGAAAUCGUUCAGCAAAAUAGACGCCUACAAAGUGCUCGACAGAACGACUGAAAGAGUUAAAAGAAAGGGCUGCAGAAAUCUUCACACCAACUGUUUGGGAAAAUGCCUUGAAUAGAAAAAGGACUGCAAAAGUGGAGAAGCUGAACCAUUGAGAAUACUCAUUUCUAAUACGGCAAACUUCAAUUCAAAUACACUAAUGAUCAAACAUCAUUAAUUUAUUCCAUGCAUGUUAAUUAGCUCUCUUAACAACGAAGAUUAGGUCCAGGAUUAACUCCGAAUUGGUUACAAUAACUCGUAUAAUAAUUAACACGAGCAGUCACGGCGGCCGGCUUCCCUCCAUUGCAUUCUCCGCCGUUAAUAGCCCUAAUCGUGGCCCCAAAACCCCGCCCCGAUGUAAUAGCCGUGUGCACGCUAUUCAUCCAGAACCACAGCGCGGCCUUGAAUGAGAUGGCGGAGUCCCGGGCCACGAUAUCGGGGUUGUUCAAUCCAUCAAAAUUUAGGGCUUGGCCCGCCGGGCCGUAGUUGUAGUUCCACGUCAGCUGUAGCGGGCCUCUGCCGUAGUAGCUCUGGCCCGGCGUGCACGGCCACUGUUUGUUGCUACUGCAAUAGACCGCCUUGUUUAUCUCUCGUGUGUAGCACAUGUCUGCAUGGGAAAGAAAAUUAUCAGAUCGUCUGAUGGGUCAAGAUUCGUCACAUAUAUUCAUUAAUAAUAUUAAUAUUUGGUUUAUGGUUGUGUUCGGAUAUAGACAUUGAAUUAAUUUAUAGAUUUUGACUCGUCAUACCGUCUGACAUGAUAUUAUUUCCCUAGUUCAAUAUUGAUUUCAACUCAUAUAAUUAAGUUGUGAGACAGAGAAUCUCAUCGAAUUAUCAAUAUUUUGUGUGAAGCAUUGUACAAUAGCUUCUAAAACCUAAUUAAAUAGUACAAAAAUUGUCUUUCGAAAUCUCAAACUCAAUACAUGUGUGCAAGAUGAUUAAUGCCCAAGGCCUGAAGUGCUGAAUUUGAUUCCACUGUGGCACGAUUUUUAAUUAAUUUAUUUAAUUGUGUAAUUUAUCAAAAAAAAAUAGAAAAAUAUAGCUCCUAAGUGAGAGUAACAAAGUUAACAAUUAAAAAGAAAUGUGAUUAUAUAUAAAAUUAUAAUCUUUUAAAAAGUAAAAUAAAAAUAAAUAAAUAAGAAAACUUAGUCCAAUCUAAUGUGUGACAUGCCAUGACCUCACGCUCCGAUUCGUCGGUGGACACGAGUUUCGAGAAAAUUUAAUUAUAUAUAAUUAGUAACAAUAUGUCCGAAAAUAGAAUAGGAAGAUAUUUUAUGGAGGAAUCAAAAAAGAAAAUUAGGAAAAUAUUUCGUGGACUUACGCCCGGUCUCGUGCGUGACAUGAGCGAAGAACGCCGCGAUCUCACGCUUCGAGUCGUCGGCGGACCCCACCGUGCCGAAGUUGGGGUACAGCUGAAUCGCUUGUAGGAAGGCGGCGCGUGUGUAGAAUCCCUUCCCGGCGCAGCCCCGCCCCGCCUGAUUAGCAAUGCCGUUGAAGAAACUAUCUGUCACCACGCCGCCGACAUUGCCUCCGUUGUUUUGGCCGGAGACGUAUUUUCCGGUGGCUAGGAGGAGAGCGAGAAGGGCGUAGAUAGUGAGGGAAUGGUUCAUUUUGGAGAUAGCUAAGAGUAGUGAGAAAAUAUUGUGUUGGUGUGGAGAAAUAAUGUGGGGAUAUGGGUAUUUAAAGAGUGAAAUAAAUAUAUACUCCAUUAUUUUAUUUUAUCUUUAGAAGGAUAAUGGGAAGAGGAAGAUAUCUUGAAGCUAGGAAGAUUGGAAGUUUGUUACAAAUGGAUUAGUAUAUUAUUGACUUUUGGAAUGCCUUAUAGUAUAAGGUACUAUUUGAUUUUAUUGUGGUGGAAAUUUGUGUUGGAUUUUCCAAAGUGGAGUAGGUAAACUUGACUUACUAUUAAGAGUCAACUCAUAAUAUUUACACCAUAUAUAACUAGUUACUUAUAAUCUAAUUAUAUGCUAAAGGAUAUUGUUCACUACAAAUUAUACUUAUAAGUUCAAAUGAGAAGGUAUAUAAUGUACUAUAAAUUAAAAAUUAUUUCAGUACUGAAAAUGUGAAGAUUUACUGUGAAUUCAUCACUUUGCUGAACGAACUCAUAAUUCAUGGUUCAUACUGAAUUUAAAUCUUAAAGGUGUUGAAAAUUCAUUUUCUUUUAAUUCAUUACUUUUCACAAUGAAUUCAUAAUAAUUCAUAUAUGAGAUGUUUGAUUUGAGCGAUAAGCAUGACUGAUAAACAAGUCCAACUUAACUAAACAUUUGGUUUGUAUGAUUCGACUCGUAAUAUAAUUUGGCCCGUAAUUUAAUCAUAUAAUAAAAUGAUCAUUUAUCACUUUAAAAUUGAGUUGAUUAUAUAUAACUCUAUCCGACAUUAUAAACAAUGAGACCAAAUAUAUAAAGACUCCAAAAUAAAAAUAAAAAAACCACGAAAGUGUUUAAUAAAAAUGAAAUAAAAGAAGAAUAUGACAAACCAACAUACUAGUGAGUCACAUGAUUCUCUAGAGUCCUAGCUUGGUCAAUUCUAUAUCUCAAUACAUUAAAAAUAAUAAAUAUUACCGACUCAUUAUAGUCCAAAUUAAUUGGUUCACGUGAUCAUGGUCCCCAUAUGUAAUACCGACCUAAUUUUCCACAUUCUCUUUCUUCUUCUUUUUUUUUUCUUCUUCUUCUAGUAACAUUUUUGUAUUCUCAUCCCUUCCUUGUUUAUACCACAUAUAACAAAUAUCUCAUUGAUUUAAUCUAUUUCAAUUUUUUUAAAAGAUAUUUCCUAAAUAUAACCUACCCCAAUUAACAUUAGCUAAGAGUUCAAGUUAAAUAUUAAAAAAGAGGGGGAAAAUGCCUUAAAAUACACAAAGUUUGGACGAAUUCUGAUUUUACACACAACUUUUGAAAUUUGAAAAAAAAAUACAACAAAUUUUAAUUUUUAUUUAUUUUUUAGUAAAUUUAAAAAUACCCUAAAAUUAGAAACAUAAAAGUUGCUACUACAACCCAACACAGCAAGCUCAUAAAUAACUAGGGAUGGCAGUGGAUCUUGGAUGCGGUUCGCAAUUCAACAUGAAAAUAAAGCUUUCUCUCGCAAUCAAACUUAAUACAAAUAUUGUAGCAGUUUAAAAUUUAAUGUAUUUCAUUUCAAAUUUCAAAGGUUGUGAGCAUAUUAAAAUUUUAUUUUUAUUUUUUCAUGGAUUAAUGUUUGAUUGCGAGAGAAAACUUUAAUCAAUAUUUUGAAUAUAAAUUUAAAUAUAAAUAUAAAUUUAUAUUCGGUAAACAAAAUUCGGGAUUCGAUGCGAUACUAAACAAAUCAAACUUGAGCACACCAGUAUUCAAUUCGACUCGGUUCGAUUAUACCCCUAUGUAUUCCCAGAAAAUGAAACCUUUUACCAAAAAGUACAAAGAUGUAAAAUAAUACUGUGAAAAGCGCAUUUUCAACUCUCUAUAAUGCUUUAGACAUCGUAUGUCAUGCAACGAUUUUACGAUGCAAUAUUUUCAAGAAUUCUUGAAAUUCACUGUAUCCAGCUUGGAUCCAUAACAUUUUUCAGACCUUUUUAGUUAUUGUAUCAAGUAAAUAUGUUCAAACUGUUGGAAAUCUGCUAUGCUAUUCUGGAGAAAUCGUUCAGCAGAAUAGACGCCUACAAAGUGCUCGACAGAACGACUGAAAGAGUUAAAGAAAGGGCUGCAGAAAUCUUCACACCAACUGUUUGGGAAAAUGCCUUGAAUAGAAAAAGGACUGCAAAAGUGGAGAAGCUGAACCGUUGAGAAUACCCAUUUCUAAUACUUCAAUUCAAAUACACUAAUGAUCAAACAUCAUUAAUUUAUUCCAUGCAUGUUAAUUAGCUCUCCUAACAACGAAGAUUAGGUCCAGGAUUAACUCCGAAUUGGUUACAAUAACUCGUAUAAUAAUUAACACGAGCAGUCACGGCGGCCGGCCUCCCUCCAUUGCAUUCUCCGCCGUUAAUAGCCCUAAUCGUGGCCCCAAAACCCCGCCCCGAUGUAAUAGCCGUGUGCACGCUAUUCAUCCAGAACCACAGCGCGGCCUUGAAUGAGAUGGCGGGGUCCCGGGCCACGAUAUCGGGGUUGUUCAAUCCAUCAAAAUUUAGGGCUUGGCCCGCCGGGCCGUAGUUGUAGUUCCACGUCAGCUGUAGCGGGCCUCUGCCGUAGUAGCUCUGGCCCG